rnacentral:ncRNA from 1 species
UAAAAGUUUUAUUCUUGCUUAAAAAUUUAUAUUUAGUAUAUUUUACAUGUAAAUUUUUGUAUGGAUAUAAUUGGUUCUAAAAGAUAAAUAAUUAUAUAAAUAUUUGCAGUAAUUAAUAUUAUAAAUUAAAGAAAUUUAGAAAUAGUAUUAUUAAUAGCAUUGGCAUAAUUUGUGCCAGCAGCUGCGGUUAUACAAAUAAUGCAAUUAAAUUUUAUUGGUUUUAGUUAAAUUUAUUUUUUAGAAUAAGAGUUAACUUUGUUAGGUGAAAUUUUAAAGUUAAGUAAAUUCUUUAAUAAUUUAUUGAAGCUAGAAAACUUUAUUUAUAAACUAGGAUUAGAUACCCUAUUAUUUAGAGUGUAAAUUAUUAAGCCUGAGUAGUAAUAGAUAUGAUCUUGAAACUUAAAGAAUUUGGCGGUAUUUUAGUCUGUUCAGAGGAAUCUGUCCUUUAAUCGAUAGUCCACGUUAUACCUUACUUGAGCUUGUCUAUCAGUUUGUAUACCGUCGUUAUUUGAGAAUUUAUUUAUAAUAACAAUUUUCUAAUUUUUAAAUUAAAAUAUAUAUCAGAUCAAGGUGCAGCUUAUGCUUAAGUAGAGAUGGAUUACAAUAAAUUUAUUUAUAUGGAUAUAAUAUUGAAAUAUAUUGUUGAAGGUGGAUUUGAAAGUAAAAUCUUAUAUUUUGUGGAUUUGAUUUUUGCUCUAAAAUAUGCACAUAUCGCCCGUCGCUCUUGUUAUUAAAAUAAGAUAAGUCGUAACAUAGUAGAUGUACUGGAAAGUGUAUCUAGAAUGAC